ACGAACCGCUGCGGCAUGCCUAACACAUGCAAGUCGAACGCUAUCUUUGAUAGAGUGGCGCACGGGUGAGUAACGCGUGGGAACCUGCCUUUCACUGCGGGACAACGGUUGGAAACGACCGCUAAUACCGCAUACGCCCUACGGGGGAAAGAUUUAUCGGUGAAAGAGGGGCCCGCGUCUGAUUAGCUUGUUGGUAGGGUAAUGGCCUACCAAGGCGACGAUCGGUAGCUGGUCUGAGAGGAUGAUCAGCCACACUGGGACUGAGACACGGCCCAGACUCCUACGGGAGGCAGCAGUGGGGAAUAUUGGACAAUGGGGGCAACCCUGAUCCAGCAAUGCCGCGUGUGUGAUGAAGGCCUUAGGGUUGUAAAGCACUUUCACUGGUGAAGAUGAUGACGGUAACCAGAGAAGAAGCCCCGGCUAACUUCGUGCCAGCAGCCGCGGUAAUACGAAGGGGGCGAGCGUUGUUCGGAAUUACUGGGCGUAAAGGGCGCGUAGGCGGUCUUUUAAGUUAGGCGUGAAAGCCCCGGGCUCAACCUGGGAACUGCGCUUAAAACUGGAAGACUAGAAAACGGAAGAGGGUAGUGGAAUUCCCAGUGUAGAGGUGAAAUUCGUAGAUAUUGGGAAGAACACCAGUGGCGAAAGCGGCUACCUGGUCCGAUUUGACGCUGA
rnacentral:rRNA from 1 species